GGACUCAAAGUUUGCAUCAUCACCUCAAACCCAGAUGGUUACAAAGUGAUAUUCAACGGUUGUGAACACGGAGUGACUACAACCAGUGCACCCUCAACAACAGAGGCACCCUCAACAACAGAAGUCUCAACAACCGAGACUAGAACCACUGUGGUGAGUACUACCGUUACUUCUACUGUACCAUCAACUACUGAGGCACCAUCAACUACUGAGGAGGUGACAACCACUGUUGUUUACACAACUACUCCAG